GAAGUAAAUGCUGGAAAUUGCAAAGAUAAUUUUUUUAAAAGUGAAUGGUAAUUUUUAAAAUUUGAAAUUGAUUCUGGCGCUGCUGUUAUAAUCAUAAAUAAAAAUAUAUUUGAAAAAUAUUUUCCUGCAUUACAAUUACAAAAAUCGGAUGUUAAAUUAACUACAUACUGCAAAAAUAAUUUGAAUGUUUUAGGUUUAGUUUCAGUGGAGGUUGAGCACCAGGAAUUAAAGCACACUCUAAAGUUGUAUGUGGUGGAUGGUGAUGGCUACUCACUGGUUGGUCGAGAGUGGAUACAUGCUCUGGAAAUCAAUUUACAUCAGGUAAAUACAAUUCUACAUGAAAAUUUUGAAAUUGCAACUUUGUUAGAUAAAUAUAAACAUUUAUUUGAAAAGUCAGUUGGUGAAAUAAAAGGGUUAGAGGCUGAAAUUUAUCUAAAACCUGGUACUAAAGCAAAAUUUUGUAAGGCCCGUCCUGUAGCUUUUGCAUUACGCCCUAAAGUUGAGGCAGAAUUAGAGUCCUUAG
rnacentral:lncRNA from 1 species